CCUACGGGCGGCAGCAGUGGGGAAUAUUGGGCAAUGGGCGCAAGCCUGACCCAGCAACGCCGCGUGAAGGAAGAAGGCCCUCGGGUUGUAAACUUCUUUUAACAGGGACGAAGAAAGUGACGGUACCUGAUGAAUAAGCCACGGCUAACUACGUGCCAGCAGCCGCGGUAAUACGUAGGUGGCAAGCGUUAUCCGGAUUUACUGGGUGUAAAGGGCGUGUAGGCGGGAGUGCAAGUCAGAUGUGAAAAUCCAGGGCUCAACCUUUGGACUGCGUUUGAAACUGUUCUUCUUGAGUAAUGGAGAGGCAGACGGAAUUCCGAGUGUAGCGGUGAAAUGCGUAGAUAUAAGGAGGAACACCAGUGGCGAAGGCGGUCUGCUGGACAUCAACUGACGCUGAGGCGCGAAAGCGUGGGGAGCAAACAGGAUUAGAUACCCCAGUAGUC
rnacentral:rRNA from 1 species